UUGUGUGUUUGCUCUCUGUUACGGUCUGUGUUGUUGCACAUGGUUCUCGGCGCGUUUCUUGGACGUCCUUGGGCUUCUCUUCUUCCGUUGGUGCUCCUGAUGGGAGGUUGGCUACUGAGGAUAGUACUAAUCCUGGUUUGAGGGCUGAUGAGGCGCGGUGGGGACGCUAGGAACAAGAUAUUCGUCAUGGGAGACAUCCUCUGGAUUCAUUGUUUGGUGGGUAUUUGGCAUGUGUUUUUUGUUAUUGUUGUUUGUCCGCAUUCUUGUUUUAUAUAUCCUUUUGCUUUAAUUUUCUCCAAUAUUUCUUGCUGAUUUAUUGAUUUUUGCGGUUGGAAGGAAUGUUCGGCCUACAUUUGAAGAAUUGGUUGAUCCUUAAGGGUUCGAUUUUUCUUGGUUUUUUUAAAAAAAUUCACCCCUGCUGAUUGAACGACGCAUGUGCACGGUGGCUUCCCAGGAUGUGGUCAAUCUCUUGCUUGGUAUUUUAAGCACAUUUUGUUUACUGUUGGAUGGAGGUUGUGGGCUCUCCUAGAAGGUUCCGAAUUCAGCAGAAUCAGCUUGCAUGUACGUGUUUCUUCUAGAGGUGCAUUAGUAUAGGCUGGUUGUAUGGGCUGAUUUUGUCUCAUGUGAAAAAAACAGUUUGACUGCAUGCAUGCAUGUGGUCAUGUUUGCCUGUUUGGAGUUCCUUCUCUAUUCCAUCGCUGCACACGUUGUGUUCUGGGUUCUUCCGGUGUGUUUCAUUUUAUUUCCUCUCCCCUUUUCCCUUCCUAUAAGUAGUUCUUUGUUCCUUCUCUCCUGUGUACUUGUGUGUGUGCUCUCUGGUAUGGUUCGUGCUGUUGCACAUGCUUCCGGUGUGUUCGUUCAACGUCCUUGGGCUCCUCUUCUUCGGUUGGUGCUUCUGAUGGGGGUUGGCUGCUGCGGGUGCUUCUACUCCUGGUUUGAGGGCUGAUGAGGCGCGAUGACAACAUCCAGGAAUGACAAGAUAUUCGCAGUGGGAAACGUUAUGUAGAUCCAUCGUUUGUUGGAAGGAAUGUUUGGCCUGCGCUAGAAGAAUUGAUUGAUCCUUGUCUUGUUGUUGUUAGAGUUGCAUCUGAUGUGGAAGUUCUGUAUCGUCCAAAUUUCACUACUGGUUGGUUGUCUGGUUCCUCGCGUGGACCGACUCCUUCUGGCUCACGCCCAGUAUGGUGGAUGUGUAGUGGCCGUUGCUGUCGUACGUCCCCGUGAUAAUUUCUUAAUUUUAGGUUCGCGACCAGUAUGGUAGGUGCAUGGUGGCCAUUGCGGUUGCCCCCUGAUCGUGGCUGGUGUGAGGAACUGGUGUAAGAAUUGCUCAUCUCAACUACCAGUACAUAGAAAAUUGCGUAGGCCUCUCAUGAUUUAGUGUACAACAAUUGCCAUUAUAUCAAGAUUUGAGUCAUUGUUGACAGAAGGUUUGGAAGCGAGAUGAUGUUGACCGAUGGGUUAGUUUUGUCAAGCAGAAAACAUUUGUCUCAUUUUUUGUAAUGUUCUGUAGGCUUAUAAUCCUAGACAUGCUGAUUAUGAGGUUUCACUUAAAUAUUAUUUCAGUCUUGCAGCAAGUUUACAUGAUUUUACUCCCUAAAAAAAGGUUACCCAAAUUUUAUCCUACUUGAGUUUUUAGGCUUUUGUUAAUGUCUUGCAGGUCUCAGGUGAAAUUUGCAUGGAGUCUUUCACAGGAGAGCAAACAUUGCCACUGUCGAGGCAAAGUUGCGAAUGUGAUGUGCCUUGACUUCCCAACCUUUUUACUAUUUCUUGCAGAUCCUUAAUUAUUUUGGCAAACAAAUGAGGUUGUGUUAUUUUUAUUUUUGUAUAGACUUAUAGAUCUUACUGGAGGGUUUUUUGGGGGGAAUUAUUCGAGGUUUUUCUCAAAAGCUUAUAUAUGUAUUUCGACCUGGACAAUGGUCUUAUUUUGGUAUUAAUUGAUGCAUGUCUAUUGUGUAUAAUAUAAGCGUUCUGCUUAUUUAUCCUUUUCCGUCUCAUGCUAAUAGCCAAUACAGUUUAGGCAUUGGAGAAAGGAAAUCGACCAUUAGAUGUAGGUUAUAUUAUCACAACAUAUCCAUCGAGUUAUUAUACCAGCUUGGAUCCUCUUAAGUUGCAUAACCUACGCUAACAUGCAUGUCCACAUAAAAAGAGCAUGAGCUCUAACCAGAUUUGAUCGAUUCUAAAAUAGUCCAUUAAGCUGAGAACUUAUUUACUUGAUUUUUCUGUUUGUUGUUGUUGUAAACUAAUAAUAGUGUUUCGCCACUGCUCUAUUCUAAUGAAAGCUGAGAUGCCAUCAUUUUCAGUAUUAGUUUCACAUGAUGCACCCAUUUCUGUCUGUUCCUAUCAGUGAUCAGAAUUUUGAGCUACAAACUGGAUACAAAAUGACACUGAGUUGUAAAAUUGCCCAGUAUUGCUACUACACCUAGAAAGCAAGACAGUUGAUGGUGGCAAGAAGCCAUGAAACAUCAAUGUGCUAUUACUGAAGAAGAUGAUAUCUAUUUGGAUAAGUUUAGAGGGAAUUCUAGGAGGCCGUGGACCUGAGUUUAUCAUAUAUUGGUUCAGAGAUUCUUCACCUGACAAAUUUGCAAUGACUAACGGGCCAGGACUGUAAAUGCAUGAAUCAUCCCUGGAGAAUGGAGAUGAAUGAGGAAGUACUGAGAUUGUGGGAGAUGAAUUCGAACCUGGGUCCUGGUCCAAGAAAGAUGUUACGAAGUGGUACAUCAAAACAAAAGCUAAUACUUCCAUUUAGAUUAUGCAGUUUAGAAGGGAGGACCUUGGCGGGGGUGGAAUCAAGGAGGAGUAUAGCUGCUGGUGGGUUAGGACCUACGAAGCACCAAUACAUGCAAAAUCGAUGUAUCCCCGUCCUGUAUGUCGUCGAUGUGAAAGCCACUGGGGGAGUCGACGUAGAGCGGUCACCGCCGCACACGGAAGCCGUGAGAGGAGUCUUUCGACGGUAUUCCGUACAUUGAUCCCGUCUCGCACAGUUGCUAUUCCUAACAGCUGAUACGGCCGCAAUAUGCGUAUCGCCAGAGUAUCGUGCUUUUUGAUUUUCUUUUUUAAGAAAAAAUGCUGAUGCGUACUGUUCACCAUCCACGACACGGCUAGGAUAUGACCAGCCCAGUACAAGCCCAAUACUAACCAUAACUUCUGCCUGUAGCUCCUUGGUGCAUGGUUUGACUAUGGAUCUUCCUAUUUAUGAUGUUACCUUAGUGAACUUUUGCUUUAUUUGUCUAUGGCCACUGAGAAUUCAGAAUUGAAACUUGUUGGAACAAGGAACUAUAUAUUCAUACGGUAUGCUACAAGCCAACUUGUUUACUGCUUUCCACUUUUCUUGCUUGUCUAUCUCGUAUUAUCAAGUCUAAUAUCAUGUGAUGUAUUUUCUAUUUUGUAUACACCAUGAGGAGUUGAGGACAUGGAUGAUCAUUGAAGACUAGAAAAGAAAAGAGGCAUGGAGGCAAUCAGGCAGACAAUGGGGUGGUAUUUUGAUCUCAUCUCACAUAUUUUUUCAUAAAAUUGUCCUAGCCAACCUGAAUUUCCACCAACCAUUUAGAUAUUGGAGUGCUGUCUCCUGAGCCCCACCAAAACUGGAAAGAACAACAAGAAUUGUUUCUGACCUUGAGUGCUUCCUGCCAUGGUGUGGAAUCUUCUUGUUGUAUAUUUUCUAUAAAACUCUCUCCCAUUGGAUUUGAGAAAUAGACUCAAGCAUAGCCAUCGGCACCCACUCCACUGCAAUCCAGUCGUGACCGAUCAGUUCGUGUCCUGCAUGGCGCUGCACUAGGAGAGUCCAGAAGAGAAACAAGAGGAGAAGCUACUCGGCAUCCGUACAGAUUUUGUAACCUAGCUUAGAAAAGAAGAUAACAUUAGGGA